rnacentral:rRNA from 1 species
GGACGGGUGAGUAACACGUAGGAAUCUGCCUUGAAGAGGGGGAUAACCCGAGGAAACUCGGGCUAAUACCGCAUGAUGUCGGAAGACCAAAAGCUGGGGCAACCUGGUGCUUUGAGAGGAGCCUGCGUCUGAUUAGCUAGUUGGUGGGGUAAAGGCCUACCAAGGCGAUGAUCGGUAGCUGGUCUGAGAGGAUGAUCAGCCACACUGGGACUGAGACACGGCCCAGACUCC